UCAAGCUUCCAAAUGUUCCAAUUAGAUGAUAACAAAUGAGUUUCAGAUGUCAAUAGGGACGUAAGUGGCCAAGUAGCAACAAGAGAUAUGAUUACAUUCUCUAUAAAUGAAGGAGAAGGGUCUGGGGAAGAACACACCGCCAGCGAAAAGAAAUCCUCUUCUCAUAUCACUCCUUCAUCAUCCAAUUUGUGUAGAUUAUGUAAUGGCUUUCAAGCUACUUUAUUUUGUAUUUUGUAAAUCUCAUUUAUAGUGAAUAACAAAUACAAACACAAUUUGUGUAGAUUAUGUAAUGGCUUUCAAGCUACUUUAUUUUGUAUUUUGUAAAUCUCAUUUAUAGUGAAUAACAAAUACAAACACAAUCCUAGCGGAUAUAGCCGAAUUGGCAAACCACUUAAAUCCCAUAUUUAUGUACCUUUAUUUUGAAAUCAUUACCAUGAAAAGCGCCUUCAACCAACAAUGGAAAUCUCCUCAGAAAACCUAAAACCAAAGAAAUGAAAUCCCAAUAAUCAUAAUGAAUCUAUAUUUCCUCCCUCACUUGAACCCCAAAUCAAAUUCAGUUACGUAAACUAUUAUUCAUAGACUACUGGAUUUUUAAUUAGGAGGCAACCAUAACAUCACACCAAAUUGAUCAAGGCAACCAACCGUCUUUCUGCAUCUCUGCACCGGUGUUCGAACUCCACCGCCAGGCAGCAGCAGCUAUGCUGGCUUUGGCCAGUCACACCCACUAAUGGCAGCCAUGGAAGACAAUGAUGACAUCCUAAGACUUCUACGACAAAACCACCAUCAAGGCUCUCACUGUCCAAGAGAACCAAUCCAUGUGCACUUUCCUCUCCCACCACAACGAAGAAGACGUCACCUUUUAUGGUUCUCGACAUAAGACGAACUGAGUGGUAAACCGGUGGAGAGAGAGAAAAUAAAGAAAAUAGUGAAGAGGGAGAAAAUGGUAAGUCCCAUUUUCUCAUUUAUAUUGUUGUUAGCUAUCAAUGCUUCAUUAUUAAUAGUCUAAUAUUAUUUUGGUUACUAAUCAGUUGGAUUUAUGUUGAAGCUUGCAGGUUUGUUAGAGAAAAUGUGAUUAUUGAUAUCUAUGUGAACCUAACAUAUACAUAUGCAUUGCAAAUGAAAGAAAAAGAGUUGAGUUGUGUAAAGAGUUUGAGUUGUGAAGGUAUUCAAGGCCCAUAAAGAAUGCCUUGAAUACAAAAUAAUGAAAUCUUGUAUAUGUUAGGCGUUGAGGGAAGGGCUUGUAUUGGGCGUCGGGAAGUGCCCAUAUAAUAAAAUGGAAAGUAAGAAUUUAAUUACAAAAUGGGUUUAAGGGAACAGGAGUUAACUCAGAAAAGGUAUUUGGAGCCCAGUGAUAUAAGCAUGGUAUAGGAUGUGCAAGCUUGGGUACCUUAAGUAAGUGUUAACAUGAUUAGAAGGGAGUGAGUACAUUCAUCCAUCCCAAUUGCAUAUAUUUUAUGUAUUUGCAACAAUCGUCCCAUUUUGUUAUACG
rnacentral:lncRNA from 1 species